rnacentral:rRNA from 1 species
CACGGGGGGAGCAAGCGUUGUUCGGAAUCACUGGGCGUAAAGGGCGUGUAGGCGGUCAGAUAAGUGGGGUGUGAAAGCCCCCGGCUCACCCGGGGAUCUGCGUAUUCCAAACUGUCUGGCUUGAGUGACGGGAGAGGAUGGAGGGAAUUCCUGGUGUAGCGGUGAAAUGCGUAGAUAUCAGGAGGAACACCGGUGGCGAAGGCGGGUCUCUGGGCAACAACUGACGCUGAGGAGCGAAAGCGUGGGGAGCGAACAGG